rnacentral:tRNA from 1 species
GGGACGUUAGCUCAGUUGGUUAGAGUAUUUCCUUGACAUGGAAGGGGUCGGCGGUUCGAAUCCGCCACGUCCCACAA